GUCGACUCCGGUAGCGGAUUUGCUUCACUGAUUCUUUUUAUAUUGCUUUCAUCAUGUGACAAAUUUUAAAAAUAGAAUUAUUGGGGAAACCAAAACAGACGUAAGAUCAUUCAGGAAUUUCCUAUAUUUGAACGGAUUAACAAAGAUUACAAGACCAACAGAUGUUUUAUAGUUCAGCUUACAAAAAGCAUUAGACAAGUUUCAUAAUUAUUAAAUGGCCGGUAUUCAGGUAGAUGGGAACCCAACAGUAGAGCAUCUCACGAAUUAUUUUCGGAGAAGAACUCGACAAAGUAAUUCCACCCAACAUGAUAGUAGCAGUGAUUCUUCAAGACCACGCGACGCAGUCCCAAUGUCUACUACGCAGCCUACAACAUGUGAAAGUCUUGGUAUAUUGAUAGGCAAACCCAAACACAGACAAUACGGUACUCUAGACUCACGUAUAAAAUCAUAUGAAAAUGAAAAUUGGAUUAAAGAUAAAACACCGGGGAUAAAAGAACUAGCAGAGGCCGGACUUGCAUAUACAGGUGUUGCCGACUCUGUGAGGUGUUACUACUGUAAUAUCGGCCUAAAAAUCUGGCCGAAAGACGUCUGUCCUUGGAAACAGCAUAUACUAGCCAUUCCUGAUUGCGGG